rnacentral:lncRNA from 1 species
CCCAUCAGCCCCGGAGGGAGGGAAGUGUCUGAAACAGGAACCCUGGAGAACUUUGAAGAGUGGGGGUGGAGUGAGCUGUCCUCUUCAGGCACUGAGGUUGCAGCCUGCACUUUCUCAGUGACUGUGCUGAAGUGAUCACAGUGGCUUCAGUCUUCUGUCUCCUUGACCCAGGCCCUGCACCCAGACACGGAGGCUGAAGCUGAGUAUUGCCCCCUGAGAAACUGAAAAACUCACAGAUGUGUUGGGGUGGCCUGGCAGGCCACUGUCGGGAAAGCCACCAAAGAGGCCUGACUCCCAUCUGAAACCCACUGACAGCUGUGGGAACGAAACUUUUAAAAAACUUUUUAAUUAACAGAAGUCACUCUGCACAGAACUCCCGGCUUGGUCAGAUCCAGAUGUCCCGCUGUCCUUAGUCACAUACUACACC